GGCCCUGCAUGUGGGCAGUAGCCUAGUGGUGCUGCACCUGCCUGCCAAGUGCAAGGUCUAGAGUUUGAUUCCUCGUACAGAGAAAAAAAAAAAAAAAUGGCUGAAGCCCUGCACAUGGACUUCUCCCGAGAACCUGAGCAAGUUUUCACUACGAUGGCCUACAGCUGAUCUUCGCCGGAGGCGUAGGAGCGCAGCACCGCAUCCCGGGACCCGGAUGUAACAGUUCUCGCGAGUUUCCUCGAGAUUUGGACCCCAUAAAGGCUGCCUGGAGGCGGGGAAGGGCUUGCUGUCCUUGCUCUCCUCUUGGUCUUGUCUGCUUCUCCUAGGGUGUUCUUGUAACGUUGCCUUUUCUUCAGCCCACCUUCGCUCUGCAGGACCAGUUUCUCCUUCGUGCUUCGCACUGCUUUUUGCCUGCUUUAUUCGGUUCUUUACUUGGGAGGAGGAGAACCUGGAGUCCAACUCCAGAGGGAGAGGCGAACAACACAGAACUCGGUUUUCUUAUAACUUUUUCCAUUUCCCAUAUUUCUGGAGUACCUGGAACUAUGCCUCUUCUUUGGGAAGGAAAAGUAGAAAUCUGUAGGUGUGGAGAAGAGAUUGUGAAAUCACAUAAAUGGAAAUGCAUAAAUCUUAUUUCAUCAUCACUUAGUUUUGCUGUAUCUAGAACGUC
rnacentral:lncRNA from 1 species